AAAAUUGAGGAAAUCAAGGACGUUCUGCUCAUAGCUAGGCAGAAGGAUGCCAAAUCUGUCAAGAUCAAAAAGAAAAAGGAUAAUAUGAAGUUCAAGUUUCGCUGUAACAGGUACUUUUAUACCCUGGUUAUCACAGACAAGGAGAAGGCAGAGAAGCUGAAGCAGUCCCUACUCCCAGGGUUGGGAGGGAAGGAGCUGAAA
rnacentral:lncRNA from 1 species